rnacentral:rRNA from 1 species
GGGUUGUGAGGUUAAGCGACUAAGCGUACACGGUGGAUGCCCUGGCAGUCAGAGGCGAUGAAGGACGUGCUAAUCUGCGAAAAGCGUCGGUAAGGUGAUAUGAACCGUUAUAACCGGCGAUGUCCGAAUGGGGAAACCCAGUGCAAUUCGUUGCACUAUCGUUAACUGAAUACAUAGGUUAACGAGGCGAACCGGGGGAACUGAAACAUCUAAGUACCCCGAGGAAAAGAAAUCAACCGAGAUUCCCCCAGUAGCGGCGAGCGAACGGGGAGCAGCCCAGAGUCUGAAUCAGCUUGUGUGUUAGUGGAACGGUCUGGAAAGUCCGACGGUACAGGGUGAUAGUCCCGUACACCAAAAUGCACAGGCUGUGAACUCGAAGAGUAGGGCGGGACACGUGGUAUCCUGUCUGAAUAUGGGGGGACCAUCCUCCAAGGCUAAAUACUCCUGACUGACCGAUAGUGAACCAGUACCGUGAGGGAAAGGCGAAAAGAACCCCGGCGAGGGGAGUGAAAAAGAACCUGAAACCGUGUACGUACAAGCAGUGGGAGCACCCUUUAGGGUGUGACUGCGUACCUUUUGUAUAAUGGGUCAGCGACUUAUAUUCUGUAGCAAGGUUAACCGUAUAGGGGAGCCGCAGGGAAACCGAGUCUUAACUGGGCGUUAAGUUGCAGGGUAUAGACCCGAAACCCGGUGAUCUAGCCAUGGGCAGGUUGAAGGUUGGGUAACACUAACUGGAGGACCGAACCGACUAAUGUUGAAAAAUUAGCGGAUGACUUGUGGCUGGGGGUGAAAGGCCAAUCAAACCGGGAGAUAGCUGGUUCUCCCCGAAAGCUAUUUAGGUAGCGCCUCGUGAACUCAUCUUCGGGGGUAGAGCACUGUUUCGGCUAGGGGGUCAUCCCGACUUACCAACCCGAUGCAAACUACGAAUACCGAAGAAUGUUAUCACGGGAGACACACGGCGGGUGCUAACGUCCGUCGUGAAGAGGGAAACAACCCAGACCGCCAGCUAAGGUCCCAAAGUCACAGUUAAGUGGGAAACGAUGUGGGAAGGCACAGACAGCCAGGAUGUUGGCUUAGAAGCAGCCAUCAUUUAAAGAAAGCGUAAUAGCUCACUGGUCGAGUCGGCCUGCGCGGAAGAUGUAACGGGGCUAAACUGUGCACCGAAGCUGCGGCAGCGACACUAUGUGUUGUUGGGUAGGGGAGCGUUCUGUAAGCCUGCGAAGGUGGCCUGUGAGGGUUGCUGGAGGUAUCAGAAGUGCGAAUGCUGACAUAAGUAACGAUAAUGCGGGUGAAAAGCCCGCACGCCGGAAGACCAAGGGUUCCUGUCCAACGUUAAUCGGGGCAGGGUGAGUCGACCCCUAAGGCGAGGCCGAAAGGCGUAGUCGAUGGGAAACAGGUUAAUAUUCCUGUACUUGGUGUUACUGCGAAGGGGGGACGGAGAAGGCUAUGUUAGCCGGGCGACGGUUGUCCCGGUUUAAGCAUGUAGGCGGAGGUUCCAGGUAAAUCCGGUACCUUAUUAACGCUGAGGUGUGAUGACGAGGCACUACGGUGCUGAAGUAACAAAUGCCCUGCUUCCAGGAAAAGCCUCUAAGCAUCAGGUAACAUUAAAUCGUACCCCAAACCGACACAGGUGGUCAGGUAGAGAAUACCAAGGCGCUUGAGAGAACUCGGGUGAAGGAACUAGGCAAAAUGGUGCCGUAACUUCGGGAGAAGGCACGCUGAUAUGUAGGUGAAGUCCCUGCGGAUGGAGCUGAAAUCAGUCGAAGAUACCAGCUGGCUGCAACUGUUUAUUAAAAACACAGCACUGUGCAAACACGAAAGUGGACGUAUACGGUGUGACGCCUGCCCGGUGCCGGAAGGUUAAUUGAUGGGGUUAUCCGUAAGGAGAAGCUCUUGAUCGAAGCCCCGGUAAACGGCGGCCGUAACUAUAACGGUCCUAAGGUAGCGAAAUUCCUUGUCGGGUAAGUUCCGACCUGCACGAAUGGCGUAAUGAUGGCCAGGCUGUCUCCACCCGAGACUCAGUGAAAUUGAACUCGCUGUGAAGAUGCAGUGUACCCGCGGCAAGACGGAAAGACCCCGUGAACCUUUACUAUAGCUUGACACUGAACAUUGAGCCUUGAUGUGUAGGAUAGGUGGGAGGCUUUGAAGCGUGGACGCCAGUCUGCGUGGAGCCAACCUUGAAAUACCACCCUUUAAUGUUUGAUGUUCUAACGUUGGCCCCUAAUCGGGGUUGCGGACAGUGUCUGGUGGGUAGUUUGACUGGGGCGGUCUCCUCCCAAAGAGUAACGGAGGAGCACGAAGGUUAGCUAAUCCUGGUCGGACAUCAGGAGGUUAGUGCAAUGGCAUAAGCUAGCUUGACUGCGAGCGUGACGGCGCGAGCAGGUGCGAAAGCAGGUCAUAGUGAUCCGGUGGUUCUGAAUGGAAGGGCCAUCGCUCAACGGAUAAAAGGUACUCCGGGGAUAACAGGCUGAUACCGCCCAAGAGUUCAUAUCGACGGCGGUGUUUGGCACCUCGAUGUCGGCUCAUCACAUCCUGGGGCUGAAGUAGGUCCCAAGGGUAUGGCUGUUCGCCAUUUAAAGUGGUACGCGAGCUGGGUUUAGAACGUCGUGAGACAGUUCGGUCCCUAUCUGCCGUGGGCGCUGGAGAAUUGAGGGGGGCUGCUCCUAGUACGAGAGGACCGGAGUGGACGCAUCACUGGUGUUCGGGUUGUCAUGCCAAUGGCAUUGCCCGGUAGCUAAAUGCGGAAGAGAUAAGUGCUGAAAGCAUCUAAGCACGAAACUUGCCCCGAGAUGAGUUCUCCCUGAGACUUUAAGUCUCCUGAAGGAACGUUAAAGACGAUGACGUUGAUAGGUCGGGUGUGUAAGCGUAGCGAUACGUUGAGCUAACCGAUACUAAUGAACCGUGAGGCUUAACCUUACAACACCGAAGGUGUUU